UGUAUUAAGCAUUUCCAAAAGAGGAUGGGAGUGACUUACUGCUGUCUUCAUUUUCUUGUUCAUCCAAUUCAUUUGUGAUUCCACUGCUAGCUGGUGAGAUUGUGAUUGAGGUGGAGGAUGCAUCCAUACCAGGUAAAUCCCAAGGAUCAGACUUGCAAAGAUCAACUUCAGGAAUGAUGGAAGCAGGUAAAGGGAAAGAGAAGACCUUACGCUUCAAGUAUUGAACAACAAGUUCUUCAUCAGUUGGAUGAAAACGGAAACCUGGUGGCAAUCUCACUUCACCAUUCUUCUUCACAAAAUUCAUCUUCUCCAUCUUUUCUACAAAUAAAUAAAUGUCAAAGCCACUCGUGUGGUAAACAACAAGUUGUUUCUUUCUUCUUGCUUAUAAACCCAUUAAA
rnacentral:lncRNA from 1 species